CGAAAUCUGGGCCGUCAAAGUCGUCACUCCUGCAUUCGUCUUUUCACGGUCAAUGCCACAGAAUUUCCCUGAGACGUCCGCUUUGCAUUGCGGCCCCUCAGGCUACGAUGAAAAUCGUUCAAUCAGUGGGUUAGUGGGAUAACAAGAGCUCUCUUCCCAUUCCGACCAGUCGCUCUCUCUCUUCUGUCCAUCAAGUAGUUGAACGCUUGUUCGAUGGGAUUAACGGCAGGGAAAAUGCCAUUCUUCCAGAUGACAAUCGUAACGUUAUUUCUUCUGAUGAAUUUUCCACUAGGAGAAGGAUUCAACGUGAUAAUGUCGUCUCAAAACACAGCUUCUAUGACUCCAGGGGAACUACUUGUACAAAUUUUAACUGAGCCAGAAUCUCUCAUCAGGCUUUUCGAUGGAUUUAAUCUUUCAUUCCAAAUGCUUCGACAUUUAGGAAGAACGGGCCCUGCUUUGCUACGUUUACCAUUCGACAAAAGUUUUUUAUCAAACAGCUACGACCAUGUGGGGUUGGAAAGUUGGAGGAAACACUAUUAUUCGCGUAUCCCAACAAUGUUUCCGAAUGAAGCUCCGAGAUACAUAAAGACAACUCACAAUAGAUAUCAGCACGGACCACAUCUCGGAAGAUUGCUAAUACCGAUGCACUUUUAACAAAGAAUUUUCAAUUACAAAGUUAAUUAAAAACAGUUUUUAAAAACACUUCUAUUAACGCACUACAUUGCGAUUUUUUAUUCUAAUUAUUUCCUUCUUUUCAAUGUAAAGAUCUAUUAUUUCUCAAACUCGCUGCCAGGUGACUUCCGUGUUACGAAAUCAAAAUUUAAAUUAAUGAUUAACUGGUUGUUAAUUCCUGGACAUAUGAAAAUACUGAAUUAUCAAGUUCACAAAAAUGUAGAAAAUUAAAUUUAAGAUGCGAGUGAUUUAUCGAUUACAAAACUCCAUCUUAACAAAUAUGAAACAAAUCACAUUAGAUAAAGUGUUUAGCUAAAAAAGAAAAGAAAAAAGCAUCUUUUUUUUAUACAUCAUAAUGAUAUAUACUUUCUUGAAACAUUUUUGUGGACUUAAGAAGGAGACGUUAUGCUUGGAACAUUUGAAAGAGCAUCAAUGUAGAAUUUUCGCAAAACGAUUUUGCGCUGAGGCAAAAUAUUUAUAUGGGGAGACAUAUGAUAUUUUAUAUAUAUAUAAAACCCCCAAGAAUUAUUUAUGUUACAAUCAGAAGCGGAUAUUUUAACUUCAUGAUUGUUAUAUGGACGUCAAAGUGAAGUUUUACAACUGUGUUACAUAAAUAAUCUUUCGACACAGAAAUUACGCACAGUUUUAUAAUUUAACGUACAAAUAAAUUGCAUUAUAAGAGUGUUAUAUAAAAUAAUGCUUUAUUUUAAGAAGGACUUGACCUCGUUAGUUUUGUUAGUUCCUAGAAUAUAAAAAGGCUAUUUAUAAUUCAUUCCUUUUUUUAAAGGAAGAAAAAUGAAAAAACUGUUUACAUGGAUGAAUAGUUAAAGCUUCAUGGUUUAUUACCUAAAGCAUUUAAGAAUCUUAAUAUAAUAUUAUUCAGGAUUUCAACAUGAAGAAAACGGAGGAAAUCCUGUUAAACAAGAAAUUGCAAUCUCUAUGUGACCACUGAAAAAUCAUCAAACAGAAUCCUCCUGCUUCAAGAGACAGAUAUGUAUAAUAAUCGUUGUAUAUUGUUUGUCACUGGUUAUGGUAAAAUAGCUAACUCAGAGCAUAGUUAAUGUUUAUUGAAUGAACAAUUGAAUCACUGAAAUAAAAUAUUUUUUUAUUA